rnacentral:rRNA from 1 species
AUUGAACGCUGGCGGCAUGCCUUACACAUGCAAGUCGAACGGUAACAGGUCUUCGGAUGCUGACGAGUGGCGAACGGGUGAGUAAUACAUCGGAACGUGCCUAGUAGUGGGAGAUAACUACUCGAAAGAGUGGCUAAUACCGCAUGAGAUCUACGGAUGAAAGCAGGGGAUCGCAAGACCUUGUGCUACUAGAGCGGCCGAUGGCAGAGUAGGUAGUUGGUGGGAUAAAAGCUUACCAAGCCGACGAUCUGUAGCUGGUCUGAGAGGACGAUCAGCCACACUGGGACUGAGACACGGCCCAGACUCCUACGGGAGGCAGCAGUGGGGAAUUUUGGACAAUGGGCGCAAGCCUGAUCCAGCAAUGCCGCGUGCAGGAUGAAGGCCUUCGGGUUGUAAACUGCUUUUGUACGGAACGAAAAGCCCUGGGUUAAUACCCUGGGGUCAUGACGGUACCGUAAGAAUAAGCACCGGCUAACUACGUGCCAGCCGCCGCCGUAAGAC